AAAAAAAAAAAAAAAAGUUAGAGGCAUGGAUAGAGCUGAACCUUUGUCUUUUAUGCAUGUGGUCAUUUGGUGCAGGGGCUCUGCCACCUGAGGGGUUGAAGGCCAGUUCUCCCUCUGUUCGACGCAUGGCAAGAGACUUCAGAGACCACCUCAUCCAUAAUAUAUCCCUGUUCUACUCACCAGCGCUGCAGGAACGCUAUGGGAAAGAAGCCAGGAAGUCCUCAGCUGUCAGUGAGGGCCAGGGGGACCCCCCAGGGGGCCCAGCCCCCACUGUCCUGGCCCCCAUGCCGUUGGCAGAGGUGGAGCUGAAAUGGGAAAUGGAGAAAGAGGAGAAGAGAUUGCUCUGGGAGCAGCUUCAAGGCUUAGAGAGCUCAAAGCAGGCCGAAACAUCCAGGCUGCAGGAGGAACUUGCUAAGCUCUCUGAGAAACUGAAAAAGAAACAAGAAAGUUUUUGCCGUCUGCAGACAGAAAAGGAGACUCUAUUUAAUGACAGCAGGAACAAGAUUGAGGAAUUACAACAACGGAAGGAAGCUGAUCACAAAGCCCAGUUGGCUCGAACCCAGAAGCUGCAGCAGGAACUUGAGGCUGCAAAUCAGGUGAUGGGGGCUGGGUUCUGAGAUCCCCGGGGUAGGGGCUAGGACUGGGAGCCUGAAGAGGUCUGAGGUCCAUGGAGGCUGGCUGGGGAGUCUGAGAUUUCCUGUGUUGGAAAUGGAUUCUAGGGCACCCCAGGAGCUAGGAAAAUGGGAACUGGAGAGCCCUAGGAAUUGUUAUAGGAGUCCUUGUGAGUGUAAGAUCUCAGGGGGCUAAGGACUUCGGGGGCUGUGUGCUAUAAGUUUGUGUAAAUAUGAAACUCCUGGAGGUUUGAGACCACAGUCUGGAUGAAUCUGUGGUCACUAGGGCCUAGGACCAGGAAUUGGGGUAAGUCUGAACUCCCUGGGCGCUGGGUGACUUUAAGACCUUUAGGGGCUGGGAUAUCAGUAAAUUUGGGACUCCCAAGGGCUGAGGACAUGGCUGGGUAGAUAUACGACUUUCAAGGGUGAGACAGUUGGGGCUGAAGGCUGAGUGCAUUUGAGACCCUCAGGAUCUGGGCGCUGGCUUGGGCCUAAGACACCUAGGAAGUGGGAUCAUAUGGGCUAGGUAGUCCUGAGAUCCUGGGGGGCUGUGAACAAAAAGCUGGUCAGUCUGAGACCUCCAGGGGCUGGAGCAAAAGUUUAGGUGGGUCUGAGGCUCCUGAGGACUGGGGGCUGGAUGACUCGGAAGCCUCUGGGUUUCCUUCCAGAAAAGGUGAGUCUGAGGUCCCUUGGAAUGGAGGAUAUGGUGGCUUGUGGUUCUGAAGUCCCUAGAAACUGGGAACAUGGGGUCUAAGACAGGAGUCUGGGUAAAGCUGAGACCCCCAGGAACUGGUGGUUAGCUGGGUCUGAAGAUCCCAAGAGACUGGGGAGCAGAGUGACAGGUGAAGGAGUCAGUCUGAGAGUUCACCAGGACCUGGAAACUAGGAGGUUGUGAGUUUGAGACCUCUAGGAUCUGGGACUAUGAGUUUGGGUGGAUCUCACUUGGGAGAUAGGGACAUGGGAGAUGAGUGUGUCUGAAACCCCUGGUGGUUGGGAUUGGGAGGCUGGGUGAAGCUGUCAUCCUUGUGUGCUGACUACAUCUGAGAUCCAUGGGGCUGACUGUGUCUGAGAAUCCUGGAGCUCCCAAGCUGGAAUCUGGAGCUUGGCAGAGCUGAGAGAUCAGCGGCAAGGGGAACGCCUGGAACAUGCAGCAGCUUUGCGGGCCCUACAAGAUCAGGUAUCCAUCCAGAGUGCAGAUGCACAGGAACAAGUGGAAGGGCUUUUGGCUGAGAACAAUGC